GACGAACGCUGGCGGCGUGCUUAACACAUGCAAGUCGAACGGAAAGGCCCUGCUUUUGUGGGGUGCUCGAGUGGCGAGCGGGUGAGUAACACGUGAGUAACCUGCCCUUGACUUUGGGAUAACUUCAGGAAACUGGGGCUAAUACCGGAUAGGAGCUCCUGCUGCUUGGUGGGGGUUGGAAAGUUUCGGCGGUUGGGGAUGGACUCGCGGCUUAUCAGCUUGUUGGUGGGGUAGUGGCUUACCAAGGCUUUGACGGGUAGCCGGCCUGCGAGGGUGGCCGGCCACAUUGGGACUGAGAUACGGCCCAGACUCCUACGGGAGGCAGCAGUGGGGAAUAUUGCACAAUGGGCGGAAGCCUGAUGCAGCAACGCCGCGUGCGGGAUGACGGCCUUCGGGUUGUAAACCGCUUUCGCCUGUGACGAAGCGUGAGUGACGGUAAUGGGUAAAGAAGCACCGGCUAACUACGUG
rnacentral:rRNA from 1 species